GCUCUAAGAUGGAAAUGAGAAAAGGAUUCAUCCAUGGGGCUACUAGAAACAAGACCAGGGAGCUCUGGAGAAGGGAGGUGACAAAUGUAUGUUGAAUGAAUGUCCUUUACCAGUCUAUAAUAUGAGUCAUCACAGGCAUCCUUAGGCCCAUUUUACAGAUUAGAAGACUGAGACCUUAAAAAGGGGCCAAAUGUUGCCCAAGGCUACACAGAUGGUAAGCAGUAGAGCCAGGAUUUGAACUCACAUCUGUUUGGCUCUUUCUAGCUCCCCAAGGAAUAGACUCAGAAGAAUCAGGUUAAGUGGAAAGCCUGGCUUUAAAAUCUCUCCUCUGAGACAGGGAGAAAAACUUAGAGCUCACAGGACACAGUGAGAAGGAAAGAAAAGGAAUUUCCCCCAUGUAUUAAGGUCAUUAGAAGAGGAAAUUCAGAGCAAGCAUUUGAAAUAGGAUUUGGUUUUCCUGGAUGUGGGACUGAUGAAGUAGUUUUCAUGAAUGGCUGUCACCCCUGGCUUCACACUAGAAACAGCCACAGAGUGCUUUAAAAAUGCCCAUGUCUGAAUCUUAUCCUCAACCAGUUCAAUUGAAAUCUCCAGGGUGGACCUGGGGCAUCCUUAUAUUUUACCUGCUCUCCAGGUGAUUCUAGUAAUUGGCAUCCACAUGUGAGAACCAUUGAUUUAGGGAACCCUGAGGUUGCCACAGCCAAUCAGGAGUCAGGAAUUGCUUUCUGUGACUGUUGCUUCUAUCCAAUAGAACCCUUUUAUGAGCAAACUGUUCAGGAGCCUCAGUCACUGUCAGGGUAACUAUCACACCCCCUCAUGUUUAAAUUGAAGAAUGAACUGAAGGAACCAGGACAGUGGUGGAAGCAGUGGCUCUGGAGGGAUAAAAAUAGGGUUCAAUUCUCAGCUCUGUCACCCACUGCUGCUUGACUUGGGGGUUGGAGAUCUGGCCCAGGUUCGGGUACGAAUGUGGAUGGCCCAUCUGCUGGAGCAGAGGAGAGGUGGGCACUGCGUUGUUCAUCUGGGUGGCAUCUGGAAGUGAAGACACAGAAGGAGAUUGUCACAGACAGGGCAGAACCAUCUACCUUCCCUCCCAUCACCACAUCACUGGAGACCAAAACUCUCCCCACCCUUUAGGGACGCAAGUCGCAAAACAGCAGAGGGUUCACAGAUACAUGGGACACAAUUGAGUUCAUAGUCUUCACUGGAGAGCAAAUGAGGACAGGUGGGUGUUUUUCUGACAUCAUCUCAAAAGAUGUGCUCAAAACAUGUUAAACUAACAUGUUAA
rnacentral:lncRNA from 10 species